CCUACGGGUGGCAGCAGUGAGGAAUAUUGGUCAAUGGACGCAAGUCUGAACCAGCCAAGUAGCGUGAAGGAUGACUGCCCUAUGGGUUGUAAACUUCUUUUAUAUGGGAGUAAAGUGUUCCACGUGUGCCUUUUUGUAUGUACCUUAUGAAUAAGGAUCGGCUAACUCCGUGCCAGCAGCCGCGGUAAUACGGAGGAUCCGUGCGUUAUCCGGAUUUAUUGGGUUUAAAGGGAGCGUAGGUGGGUUGUUAAGUCAGUUGUGAAAGUUUGCGGCUCAACCGUAAAAUUGCAGUUGAAACUGGCAGUCUUGAGUACAGUAGAGGUGGGCGGAAUUCGUGGUGUAGCGGUGAAAUGCUUAGAUAUCACGAAGAACUCCGAUUGCGAAGGCAGCUUACUGGACUGCAACUGACACUGAGGCUCGAAAGUGUGGGUAUCAAACAGGAUUAGAUACCCCUGUAGUC
rnacentral:rRNA from 1 species